rnacentral:rRNA from 1 species
AAGCUUUGUUAACCCAAAGUGGAGGACCGAACCCGUUGACGUUGAAAAGUCUUGGGAUGACCUGAGGGUAGGGGUGAAAGGCCAAUCAAACUCGGAAAUAGCUCGUACUCCCCGAAAUGCAUUUAGGUGCAGCGUUGAUUUAUAGUUUUAUAGAGGUAGAGCUACUGAUUGGAUGCGGGGGCUUCACCGCCUACCAAUUCCUGACAAACUCCGAAUGCUAUAAAAUGUUAAUCAGCAGUGAGGGCAUGGGUGCUAAGGUCCAUGUCCGAGAGGGAAACAACCCAGACCAUCAGCUAAGGUCCCCAAAUGUAUGUUAAGUUGUAAUAACGCGGUUGAACUGCUUAGACAGCUAGGAUGUUGGCUUGGAAGCAGCCAUUCAUUUAAAGAGUGCGUAACAGCUCACUAGUCGAGCGGUUCGGCAUGGAUAAUAAUCGGGCAUAAACAUACUACCGAAGCUAUGGAUUUAUAUCUUAGAGAUAUAAGUGGUAGGGGAGCAUUCUAUAUGUAUUGAAGUUGAGCUGUGAGGCUUGGUAGAACGUAUAGAAAAGAAAAUGUAGGCAUAAGUAACGAUAAUGCGGGCGAGAAACCCGCACACCGAAAGACCAAGGUUUCCUCAGCUAUGCUAAUCAGCUGAGGGUUAGUCAGGACCUAACGCGAACCCGAACGGGGUAGUGGAUGGACAACGGGUUAAUAUUCCCGUACCUGCUCACAUUAAAAGCGACGGAUUCGAAUAGUUGGUGCGCACAGACGGAAUUGUGCGUUGAAGGGAGUAGUAAUACCCCGAUAGUACACUAAGGCUACGGCCGCGGUGAUAAUCCAGCGAAUCGAGUUCCAAGAAAAGCAAGUGAAGCAGCCUGUACCGUAAACCGACACAGGUGGUUGGGAUGAGAAUUCUAAGGUGCUCGAGAGAUUCAUGGCUAAGGAACUAGGCAAAAUCGACCCGUAACUUCGGGAGAAGGGUCGCCCAUCUUUUAGAUGGGCCGCAGUGAAGAGGUCCGGGCGACUGUUUAUCAAAAACACAGGGCUCUGCUAAAUCGAAAGAUGAUGUAUAGGGCCUGACACCUGCCCGGUGCCGGAAGGUUAAGAGGAGAGUUUAGCUUCGGCGAAGAUUUGAAUUGAAGCCCCGGUAAACGGCGGCCGUAACUAUAACGGUCCUAAGGUAGCGAAAUUCCUUGUCGGGUAAGUUCCGACCUGCACGAAUGGUGCAACGAUCUGGACACUGUCUCGGCCAUGAGCUCGGUGAAAUUGUAGUAUCGGUGAAGAUGCCGAUUACCCGCUGUGGGACGAAAAGACCCCGUGAACCUUUACUAUAGCUUCGUAUUGGCUUUGGAUAAAUAAUGUGUAGGAUAGGUGGGAGACUUUGAAGUGGCGUCGCCAGGCGUUGUGGAGUCAUUGUUGAAAUACCACCCUUUAUUUAUUUGAAGUCUAACGUCUAACGACGAACAGUGCGUGGUGGGUAGUUUGACUGGGGUGGUCGCCUCCAAAAGAGUAACGGAGGCUUUUAAAGGUUCCCUCAACACGGUUGGCAAUCGUGUGUAGAGUGUAAUGGCAUAAGGGAGCUUGACUGAGAGACCUACAAGUCGAUCAGGUACG